ACUCGCUAGUCUUACAAAUGACCCCUGUAGCUGUGCUUCUGACAUACUGCUGCGUUUGCUGGUGUUGACACAGCUCCGUAUGCUCCGGCAGGAUGAUGAAGCUGUCCGGUGGAUUGGAGAUCUGCUAAUCCGCUGCUGAAUUAGCUCAGGAGGAUGUCUCAAGGCUCUGGCGAUGUGGUGCCACUUAUGUAGGAUUGAUGGCAAAAGAUCCCUGUGCAUCAUCGUUUGGGAGCGAUCUAAAAUGUCAAAGGUGUCCUUUUGAUGUCGGGUAUGGGCCUCAUGCAAGGCAGCACCUGUGUGGGACGCCGUAUGCAUUUGUGUGUGUGUGUGUGUGUGUGUGUGUGUGUGUGUGUGUGUGUGUGUCAUAUUCACAUUCAAACUGUCAGGCUGUUCCUUUGGGAGCAAGGGAUACUGAGGAGAGACGAAUGUAAACUGAGGUUGUGCUCUCACAUGCUUCCUCUCUCUCUCUCUUUGUCUCAUUUAUUAAGUGGAGUGAUUGUAAUGGUUUGAGUAUUGAAUGUUUGCAAUGUUGAUCUCUUUGAUCCUGAUACGGUACAAUCUGGCUUACACUGAAGCCCAUCCCACUGUGUGCUGCAAUGCCUGUUUUACUAUCCGUCCAACCAUCACUGUCCUCUCCGCUAUAGAUGAAUGAAUGGAUGCUUGUUUAUGUGAACCUGUGUUUGUGGGCUGAAUGUGUGUGUUUCAGCAGCUGUAACGUGUGUUGCAGAUUCGAAUCUGAACUCAUAUUCACUCCAUCUGCUGGUCAAUUAGAUGAACACACAGAAAAUGCUUGAGCCUUUUCAGACUUUUUGAACAAAGCUAGCUUGUUUGUAUAAAGCUCUAGUACAAACAAGCAAAAUGCAAAUUUUAAAUACAAAAUAAAACACAGAAAUACAAAUGAGCUUUUAAUCAUACCAUUGGUUUUACUUUCUUAGAAGCCAGUCCAACAAACAAGUGGAAAAAUACCUGAAGGAAUUGUAUUAAUGUACUUAAUGAAAACAACCAAGCCGCAAAAAACAAAACAAAAAACACAUUACUAAUUCUCUUGCUCUUCGUUGUGUUAUAUAUCAGUGUGUUUUAUAUUCCUCCACAAGUACACAGUGUCUGGAGAGUUCUCUUAUGAAAACCGAGUGUGCUUUGUGUAUGUGUGUUGGAGGAAUACGAAGAAGAGAGCAGAGUUUUUCAAUGUGUUCUUAAGCGUUCUUGCAUUCUCAAACAACAUCAUCAUAAACUUCCAAAGUUUAAGAAGAACGUUUAAGAAAAAGGCUGCAUUUGUUCCUGAUAUUGCUAAUGCAUCAGAUGCAGACUUUAGAACAGCAGUCGCUCGAAAUCUCAGAAGUCAUUGCAGCUCAAUAAAGGAAUAGGGAAGUGCAGCAUCUUAUAUUCACUAUUAUUUACUGUUUAGAGAUAUUUCCCUAUAUGAAACAGUGAAAUUAAAAUUGGUUUUAUUUGUAUUGGCCAAAGUAUCUUUGUAAGAGUUUUGUACGUUACAUACAGUAUUUAUUAAAAAGGGGAAAAACA